rnacentral:piRNA from 1 species
UCUUGGGUGACUCUGGGAGUCUGA